rnacentral:lncRNA from 1 species
UGAACAUAGGUGCUCCCCAGAAUAUGAAAGAUGAAAUUAGUUGUACUCUUUCAGACCUCCACAGCCAGUUGUACUCUGUGUUUCUCAAGGCUUCUAACUUGUGAAGGUAUUGUAUGUCCCAAGCUUGUAGUUUCAAAAUUUUCAUGUUUCGGAGGACUUCUGCGGUUGCUUUCAUUCGUUCAUCUUUAGCUUUCAUGAUGCUGCUCUGGAAUCUUUUUUGUGCUCUUGUUAUAGGAAUAUUGCAUGCCAUUACCAUUGUUGUUGCUGCUAAUCCAGCAAAAGAUCCCACUCCCAGAUUCUUAUGAAGAACAUAUAUUGCUAGUGAAAUCUGAACUGGAAGCAUCCAUAUGAUAUUUGAAUGCCACAUGAGGUCUGUGAUCCUUUGGAUAUCCACACUUAUGUAGUUGAUAAUCUCCCCACUUGUAUGGCUCUGCCGAGACUCACUUGAUAACUCAAGACCCUUUUUAUAUAUAUGGGAUAUUAGAGCAGCUCUUACACGCAUUGCAAGCUGUUGGGCUCCAAAAUUCCAUUGUCUCUGGCACACAGACUCCACAACUUUGGCACCUAGGAAU